AUGCAAGUCGAGGGGUAACAGAGAAGCUUGCUUCUGCUGACGACCGGCGCACGGGUGCGUAACGCGUAUGCAACCUACCUCAUACUGGAGAAUAGCCCUUGGAAACGAGGAUUAAUACUCCAUGGUAUCAUUCUUUCGCAUGUUAGAAUGAUUAAAGAAUUUCGGUAUGAGAUGGGCAUGCGUCCCAUUAGCUAGUUGGUGAGGUAACGGCUCACCAAGGCGACGAUGGGUAGGGGGCCUGAGAGGGUGGUCCCCCACACUGGUACUGAGACACGGACCAGACUCCUACGGGAGGCAGCAGUGAGGAAUAUUGGUCAAUGGAGGCAACUCUGAACCAGCCAUGCCGCGUGAAGGAUGACGGCCCUAUGGGUUGUAAACUUCUUUUAUAUGGGAAGAAACUUAUCUACGUGUAGAUAACUGACGGUACCAUACGAAUAAGGAUCGGCUAACUCCGUGCCAGCAGCCGCGGUAAUACGGAGGAUCCAAGCGUUAUCCGGAUUCAUUGGGU
rnacentral:rRNA from 1 species